CCUACGGGAGGCAGCAGUCGAGAAUCAUUCACAAUGGGGGAAACCCUGAUGGUGCGACGCCGCGUGGGGGAAUGAAGGUCUUCGGAUUGUAAACCCCUGUCAUGUGGGAGCAAAUUAAAAAGAUAGUACCACAAGAGGAAGAGACGGCGAACUCGGUGCCAGCAGCCGCGGGAAUACAGAGGUCUCAAGCGUUGUUCGGAAUCACUGGGCGUAAAGCGUGCGGAGGCUGUUUCGUAAGUCGUGUGUGAAAGGCGCGGGCUCAACCCGCGGACGGCACAUGAUACUGCGAGACUAGGGUACUGGAGGGGGAACCGGACUUCUCGGUGUAGCCGU
rnacentral:rRNA from 1 species